rnacentral:rRNA from 1 species
GAGUUUGAUCAUGGCUCAGGACGAACGCUGGCGGUGCGCCUUAUGCAUGCAAGUUGAGCGAAGCUUUUCAGUAGUUUACUACAGAAAAUGACUGAGCGGCGAACGGGUGAGUAACGCGUGAGCAAUCUACCUUAGUUACUGGGAUAGCCCGAGGAAACUCGGAUUAAUACCGGAUAUUCUUAUUUUUUCACAUGAAGUUUUAAGGAAAGGUCAGCCGAACUAAGAUGAGCUCGCGUUCUAUCAGCUAGUUGGUGGGGUAAAAGCCUACCAAGGCUACGACGGAUAGCUGGUCUGAGAGGACGAUCAGCCACACUGGGACUGAGACACGGCCCAGACUCCUACGGGAGGCUGCAGCAGGGAAUAUUGCGCAAUGAGCGAAAGCUUGACGCAGCGACACCGCGUGUGGGAUGAAGGUUCUAGGAUUGUAAACCACUUUCAGGAGGGAAGAAAAUGACGGUACCUCCACAAGAAGACCCGGCCAACUACGUGCCAGCAGCCGCGGUAAUACGUAGGGGUCAAGCGUUGUCCGGAUUUAUUGGGCGUAAAGAGCUCGUAGGCGGUUCAACAAGUCGGUCGUAAAAGUUUAGGGCUCAACCCUAAAAUGUCGAUCGAUACUGUUGUGACUAGGAUACGGUAGAGGUGAAUGGAAUUCCGAGUGUAGCGGUGAAAUGCGUAGAUAUUCGGAGGAACACCAAUUGCGAAGGCAGUUCACUGGACCGUGAUCGACGCUGAGGAGCGAAAGCUAGGGGAGCAAACAGGAUUAGAUACCCUGGUAGUCCUAGCUGUAAACGAUGGAUACUAGAUGUAGGAACUGGAUUGACGGUUUCUGUAUCGUAGCUAACGCGUUAAGUAUCCCGCCUGGG